rnacentral:misc_RNA from 1 species
AGCAGCCGCGGUAAUUCCAGCUCCAAUAGCGUAUAUUAAAGUUGUUGCAGUUAAAAAGCUCGUAGUUGAAUUUCGGGAUCAAUACGUCGGUCGUGCUUCGGUACGUACUGGCGUAAUUGAUUUCUCCCUUCUGACGAACCAUGAUGUCAUUAACUUGGUGUCAUGGGAAAUCAGGACUGUUACUUUGAAAAAAUUAGAGUGUUUAAAGCAGGCUCACGCUUGAAUACAUUAGCAUGGAAUAAUGAAAUAGGACGUUCGAUCCUAUUUUGUUGGUUUUAGGAUCAACGUAAUGAUUAAUAGGGAUAGUUGGGGGCAUUAGUAUUCAAUUGUCAGAGGUGAAAUUCUUGGAUUUAUUGAAGACUAACUACUGCGAAAGCAUUUGCCAAGGAUGUUUUCAUUAAUCAAGAACGAAAGUUAGGGGAUCGAAGACGAUCAGAUACCGUCGUAGUCUUAACCAUAAACUAUGCCGACNAGGGAUCGGAUGAUGUUAAUUUUUUAAUGACUCAUUCGGCGCCUACGG